ensembl:lncRNA
GUGGAUGUUAUCCGGACCUGUGUGGAAGAGACCUGCUGGCAGCGCUGGGAUGUACUCACACAUUCUCGCAAUAGCAGUGUUCAGAUGUGUGAGGCGCAGUUUCUCCUUCGGGGGAAGAUCUCCGGAGAAGUUGACCUGUGGCACAAAAACGUCAGCAGAUGGAAAAGUCAGUUGAACGCUUCUGAGGGCCCUCUGCAGCUGUUUGAUGGCCGUCUCCUGCGUUUUUUGGACCCGGUUAUUAAUGCCGAAGGCCAAAAUGACCUUCUGCACCGUGACCUCAGAGGUCGUCUUGUUCAUCAGGAGAUCUGCGUUCCUGAAGGUGCCCCCUGGAAAAGCAUCCACCUGCAGAUCCUCGAUGUUGUGGGCUGGCAGUUUGUACACAUUGGAGUCUCCAAUGAUGAGCCACUUCCUGGUCACAUGGAGACUCCAAUCCUGUGCCUUCCGCGCGGUGGACUGGUGUCUGCAU